CAGCCGCCGCGGUAAUACCGGCGGCCCGAGUGGCGGCCACUAUUAUUGGGCUUAAAGCGUCCGUAGCCGGGUUGGUUAGUCUCCCGGGAAAUCUGGCCGCUUAACGGUCAGAAUUCCGGGGGAUACUGCCAGCCUAGGGACCGGGGGAGGCCGAGGGUAUUCCCGGAGUGGGGGUGAAAUCCUAUAAUCCCGGGAGGACCACCUGUGGCGAAGGCGCUCGGCUGGAACGGGUCCGACGGUGAGGGACGAAGGCCAGGGGAGCAAACCGGAUUAGAUACCCGGGUAGUCCUGGCUGUAAACGAUGCGGACUUUGUGUCGGACAAGCUAUGAGCUUGUCCGGUGCCGGAGGGAAACCGUUAAGUCCGCCGCCUGGGGAGUACGGCCGCAAGGCUGAAACUUAAAGGAAUUGGCGGG
rnacentral:rRNA from 1 species